AAUAUCUUGCAUGUUACAGAUUUCACUACUCCCACCAGCUUGGAGACAACAUGUGGUUCUUGACAACUCUGCUCCUUUGGGUUCCAGUUGAUGGGCAAGUGGACACCACAAAGGCAGUGAUCACUUUGCAGCCUCCAUGGGUCAGCGUGUUCCAAGAGGAAACCAUAACCUUGCACUGUGAGGUGCUCCAUCUGCCUGGGAGCAGCUCCACACAGUGGUUUCUCAAUGGCACAGCCACUCAGACCUCGACCCCCAGCUACAGAAUCACCUCUGCCAGUGUCAAUGACAGUGGUGAAUACAGGUGCCAGAGAGGUCUCUCAGGGCGAAGUGACCCCAUACAGCUGGAAAUCCACAGAGGCUGGCUACUACUGCAGGUCUCCAGCAGAGUCUUCAUGGAAGGAGAACCUCUGGCCUUGAGGUGUCAUGCGUGGAAGGAUAAGCUGGUGUACAAUGUGCUUUACUAUCGAAAUGGCAAAGCCUUUAAGUUUUUCCACUGGAAUUCUAACCUCACCAUUCUGAAAACCAACAUAAGUCACAAUGGCACCUACCAUUGCUCAGGCAUGGGAAAGCAUCGCUACACAUCAGCAGGAAUAUCACAAUACACUGUGAAAGAGCUAUUUCCAGCUCCAGUGCUGAAUGCAUCUGUGACAUCCCCACUCCUGGAGGGGAAUCUGGUCACCCUGAGCUGUGAAACAAAGUUGCUCUUGCAGAGGCCUGGUUUGUAGCUUUACUUCUCCUUCUACAUGGGCAGCAAGACCCUGCGAGGCAGGAACACAUCCUCUGAAUACCAAAUACUAACUGCUAGAAGAGAAGACUCUGGGUUAUACUGGUGCGAGGCUGCCACAGAGGAUGGAAAUGUCCUUAAGCACAGCCCUGAGUUGGAGCUUCAAGUGCUUGGCCUCCAGUUACCAACUCCUGUCUGGUUUCAUGUCCUUUUCUAUCUGGCAGUGGGAAUAAUGUUUUUAGUGAACACUGUUCUCUGGGUGACAAUACGUAAAGAACUGAAAAGAAAGAAAAAGUGGAAUUUAGAAAUCUCUUUGGAUUCUGGUCAUGAGAAGAAGGUAAUUUCCAGCCUUCAAGAAGACAGACAUUUAGAAGAAGAGCUGAAAUGUCAGGAACAAAAAGAAGAACAGCUGCAGGAAGGGGUGCACCGGAAGGAGCCCCAGGGGGCCACGUAGCAGCGGCUCAGUUGGUGGCCAUCGAUCUGGACCGUCCCCUGCCCACUUGCUCCCCGUGAGCACUGCGUACAAACAUCCAAAAGUUCAACAACACCAGAACUGUGUGUCUCAUGGUAUAUAACUCUUAAAGCAAAUAAAUGAACUGACUUCAACUGGGAUACAUUUGGAAAUGUGGUCAUCAAAGAUGACUUGAAAUGAGGCCUACUCUAAAGAAUUCUUGAAAAACUUACAAGUCAAGCCUAGCCUGAUAAUCCUAUUACAUAGUUUGAAAAAUAGUAUUUUAUUUCUCAGAACAAGGUAAAAAGGUGAGUGGGUGCAUAUGUACAGAAGAUUAAGACAGAGAAACAGACAGAAAGAGACACACACACAGCCAGGAGUGGGUAGAUUUCAGGGAGACAAGAGGGAAUAGUAUAGACAAUAAGGAAGGAAAUAGUACUUACAAAUGACUCCUAAGGGACUGUGAGACUGAGAGGGCUCACGCCUCUGUGUUCAGGAUACUUAGUUCAUGGCUUUUCUCUUUGACUUUACUAAAAGAGAAUGUCUCCAUACGCGUUCUAGGCAUACAAGGGGGUAACUCAUGAUGAGAAAUGGAUGUGUUAUUCUUGCCCUCUCUUUUGAGGCUCUCUCAUAACCCCUCUAUUUCUAGAGACAACAAAAAUGUUGCCAGUCCUAGGCCCCUGCCCUGUAGGAAGGCAGAAUGUAACUGUUCUUUUUGUUUAACGAUUAAGUCCAAAUCUCCAAGUGCGGCACUGCAAAGAGACGCUUCAAGUGGGGAGAAGCGGCGAUAUCAUAGAGUCCAGAUCUUGCCUCCAGAGAUUUGCUUUACCUUCCUGAUUUUCUGGUUACUAAUUAGCUUCAGGAUACGCUGCUCUCAUACUUGGGCUGUAGUUUGGAGACAAAAUAUUUUCCUGCCACUGUGUAACAUAGCUGAGGUAAAAACUGAACUAUGUAAAUGACUCUACUAAAAGUUUAGGGAAAAAAAACAGGAGGAGUAUGACACACACAGCAA